ACUACAAUGUUGUUGAUCCAUCCUCAGUGUUCUCCUAUCACAGCCAUUAAACUCUGUCAUUUAGGUUAGUAUUGUGGAGUAACUACAAUGUUGUUGAUCCAUCCUCAGUGUUCUCCUAUCACAGCCAUUAAACUCUGUCAUUUAGGUUAGUAUUGUGGAGUAACUACAAUGUUGUUGAUCCAUCCUCAGUGUUCUCCUAUCACAGCCAUUAAACUCUGUCAUUUAGGUUAGUAUUGUGGAGUAACUACAAUGUUGUUGAUCCAUCCUCAGUGUUCUCCUAUCACAGCCAUUAAACUCUGUCAUUUAGGUUAGUAUUGUGGAGUAACUACAAUGUUGUUGAUCCAUCCUCAGUGUUCUCCUAUCACAGCCAUUAAACUCUGUCAUUUAGGUUAGUAUUGUGGAGUAACUACAAUGUUGUUGAUCCAUCCUCAGUGUUCUCCUAUCACAGCCAUUAAACUCUGUCAUUUAGGUUAGUAUUGUGGAGUAACUACAAUGUUGUUGAUCCAUCCUCAGUGUUCUCCUAUCACAGCCAUUAAACUCUGUCAUUUAGGUUAGUAUUGUGGAGUAACUACAAUGUUGAUGAUC